rnacentral:rRNA from 1 species
UACGGAGGGUGCGAGCGUUGUCCGGAAUCAUUGGGCGUAAAGGGCGCGUAGGUGGCCUGCUAAGCGUGCGGUGAAAGCUCGGGGCUCAACCCCGAGUCGGCCGUGCGAACUGCUGGGCUUGAGCACUGUAGAGGCAGGCGGAAUUCCGGGUGUAGCGGUGGAUGCGUAGAGAUCCGGAAGAACACCGGUGGCGAAGGCGGCCUGCUGGGCA